CAGGCACAUGAGUAUAAAUGAAAAAAAAAAAAGGGAGUUCUCUCUCUGCGGGGCCAGCAAAGGAUUUGCCACCUGAAAGCAUUGUUAUUUUCUCAAGCUGUUUGUUUUGGGGGAGGUUUGGAAACCUGCAGUGUUUCAGCAGUGCUGCUUCCUCUCGAGAGGCUGCUAACAAAUGACCCAAAGCAGAAACUGUUAGAAUUCCUGAGUUGUUUCUGCUUUCCUGGGCAGAUACUGAAGUGGAUCUAAUCCCACCGUGUGCUGUUUGUAUAAGCAGUGCCAUUGAUGCAAACAGAGCAUGUGCAAGAGCAGAGGUGAGCAGAGGUCCAGAAGAACGUGUCUCUCCUGCCAGAUCACAGGCUAGUGGCUGAGGCUCUGGAAUUACUGAGGUUGUAGCCUCUUUCCUUCCCAGCUUUGGUUUCUUUAUUCAGUUUGUUUGACAGAAGAAUAAACACGAGGGCUGUUUCUGGCAACAGUCCAAGAACAUGAGGCGGAUGCAGAGGGAGUUUCUGUUCUCCCAAAAUGUCUGCUGAAUGUAAGAGCAAUUCCUCAGUAUGAUGAUUUAAUCAUGAGUUGAUUGCUGUUAUUAAUCUCCAUUAAGGUAAUAAUUUCCAAAGGGAUCAAUUGGUGAUAAAUCUCCAUUGACUUCAAAGACAGCAGAGUAGUCAUUCUCUUGAAAAUCUAGACCUCACCUAAGAGGUUAAAAAUGGUCAAAUUAGCAAUUUGAUGUUGUCUUUUCUGAAAAACUGAUUUCAGAUUAACCUAAUUUCAAUGAGAUUGAACUCUUUCUCCAGGAAAGACCUCCAUUAUGACGGGACAUACAUUCACAUACAGAUACUCAUACACACAGGUGUAUGCUCUGCAUUCAGAAGCCGCAGUUGCCUAUAAUACAGGAAUGAUUCCAGUGAGACAGUGAGGUCCAAGAAGUAGACCUAGGAAGAAAAGUGUCCUCACAUGGAGCAGGUCACCUAAGAUGCAGGAUAAGAAAAGCUGUGGGAGGAGAAGCAUGGAAAAUAGAUGUGGUAGAAAAGCAUCUUGGAGAGAAUGCAAGGGCAGUAAGGAACAGGUGGCAAAUUUCACAGUUUCUGUCAGAGAAAAGAGCAUUCAUGUCUUUCCAUGGAAUGAUAAAUCUGUGAAUCUCCACAGAAUAGAAGUUGAUAUAAAUCUUGUCCAAAGUUCCCCAAGUCUUUGA
rnacentral:lncRNA from 1 species